AGUAUCUUUUAUAUUUUAAUAAAGUAAAUUAAAUUCUAAGUAAAAAUGCUUAGAUUCUGUAAUGGGACGAUAAGACCCUAAAAGCUUAAACCAUUAUUGUUGAUUAAAUUUUGUAGUUAGAUUAAUUAGGUAAAAGUGGUAUUAGCUGGGGAAGCGGUUUUAUUUGAAUUGAAUUAAAUUAAUACUUUAGAUUUAGGAAAAAAGGUCUUUCAGAUGAGGAUAGAUAGAGAUAGUUACUUUAGGGAUAACAGCGUAAUAAUCUUGGGGAGUUCUUAUUGAUAAGAUUGUUUGCGACCUCGAUGUUGAAUUAAUAGGUCUUUGUGGGGCAGAAAUCACAUAAAGAGGGUUUGUUCAACCUUUAAAUUUUU
rnacentral:rRNA from 1 species